UAUACUAUACAUUGUCUUAAACAUACCAUUUCUCUAUUCAUAUCAGGAAACCUAUCAAACGGUAAAAAAAAAGAAAAGAAAAGAAAAGAAAUUCUCAUUUGACUCUUGAAUCGAGACCUCGCUACGUGGCUCUUAUCGGUUCACUCUCUCGCUGCCUCUGCUGACAGAAAGAUCUGAGGUGUGAGUGGGAGCCCUGGAAGAGAGCGGGCGAUGGCGGGGGCAGGAUGAGUGUGAAGGUCUGAUAGUCACCGGUAAAUUGUUAACUCUCAUUCUCUCCCUUUCUUCCGUGGGAUGGUAGAAUCUAAGACGCGGAUUUUUUUUUUUUUUUUUUUU